UGGGCGUAAGGGAGCGUAGGCGGGUUUUUAAGUCAGGUGUUUAAUCCCGGGGCCCAACCCCGGACCGGCACUUGAAACUGGGAAUCUUGAAUAGGGGAGAGGUCAGUGGAAUUGGAGGUGUAGCGGUGGAAUGCGUAGAGAUCUCCAAGAACACCAGUUGCGAAGGCGGCUGACUGGACCCAUAUUGACGCUGAGGCUCGAAAGCAUGGGGAGCAAACAGGAUUAGAUACCCUGGUAGUCCAUGCCAUAAACGAUGAAUACUAGGUUUUGGGCCCGUCAACGGUCCAGAGCCGCAGCUAACGCGUUAAGUAUUCCGCCUGGGGAGUACGGUCGCAAGACUGAAACUCAAAGGAAUUGACGGGGGCCCGCACAAGCGGUGGAGCAUGUGGUUUAAUUCGACGCAACGCGAAGAACCUUACCAAGGCUUGACAUGGGGAAGACAGGACGAGAGAUCGUCCCUCUCUAGCAAUAGAGCUUCCCACACAGGUGCUGCAUGGCUGUCGUCAGCUCGUGUCGUGAGAUGUUGGGUUAAGUCCCGCAACGAGCGCAACCCUCGUUUCUAGUUGCCAUCAUUCAGUUGGGCCCUCUAGAGAGACUGCCGCGAAUAACGCGGAGGAAGGUGGGGACGA
rnacentral:rRNA from 1 species